AACGAACGCUGGCGGCAGGCUUAACACAUGCAAGUCGAGCGCCUCGCAAGAGGAGCGGCAGACGGGUGAGUAACGCGUGGGAACCUACCUAUUGGUACGGAACAACUCAGGGAAACUUGAGCUAAUACCGUAUGUGUCCUUCGGGAGAAAGAUUUAUCGCCAAUAGAUGGGCCCGCGUCGGAUUAGCUAGUUGGUGGGGUAAUGGCCUACCAAGGCGACGAUCCGUAGCUGGUCUGAGAGGAUGAUCAGCCACACUGGGACUGAGACACGGCCCAGACUCCUACGGGAGGCAGCAGUGGGGAAUAUUGGACAAUGGGCGCAAGCCUGAUCCAGCCAUGCCGCGUGAGUGAUGAAGGCCUUAGGGUUGUAAAGCUCUUUCAGCUGGGAAGAUAAUGACGGUACCAGCAGAAGAAGCCCCGGCUAACUUCGUGCCAGCAGCCGCCGUAAGAC
rnacentral:rRNA from 1 species